rnacentral:rRNA from 1 species
UCAAGUGACUAAGUGUAUGUGGUGGAUGCCUUGGCGAUCACAGGCGAUGAAGGACGUAGUAGCUUGCGAUAAGCUGCGGGGAGCCGGCAAACGGGCUUUGAUCCGCAGAUUUCCGAAUGGGGGAACCCACCGACUUAGGUCGGUAUCACGCACUGAAUACAUAGGUGCGUGAGGCGAACGGAGCGAACUGAAACAUCUAAGUAGCUCCAGGAAAAGAAAUCAACCGAGAUUGCGAAAGUAGCGGCGAGCGAAAUUGCAGCAGCCCAGUGUUCUGAUAGCACGAACGACAGCAGAAGGGUCUGGAAAGGCCUGCUAUAGAGGGUGAUAGCCCCGUAUGCGAAAUCGGACGUGUGGUACUAAGGAACCGAUAAGUAGGGCGGGACACGUGACAUCCUGUCUGAAGAUGGGGGGACCAUCCUCCAAGGCUAAAUACUCGUGAUCGACCGAUAGUGAACCAGUACUGUGAAGGAAAGGCGAAAAGAACCCCGGGAGGGGAGUGAAAUAGAACCUGAAACCGCAUACAUACAAACAGUAGGAGCCCCUGCAGUGGGGUGACUGCGUACCUUUUGCAUAAUGGGUCAGCGACUUACGUUUUGUGGCGAGCUUAACCGAGUAGGGGAGGCGUAGCGAAAGCGAGUUCGAAUAGAGCGACAAGUCUCAAGGCGUAGACCCGAAACCAGAUGAGCUAUCCAUGGCCAGGUUGAAGGUGUGGUAACACACACUGGAGGACCGAACCGACUAGUGUUGCAAAAUUAGCGGAUGAGCUGUGGAUAGGGGUGAAAGGCUUAACAAAUCUGGAGAUAGCUGGUUCUCCCCGAAAACUAUUGAGGUAGUGCCUCGUGUAUUGCUCCAGGGGGUAGAGCACUGUUAUGGCUAGGGGGACAUGGCGUCUUACCAAACCAUGGCAAACUCCGAAUACUUGGAAGUAAGAGCACGGGAGACAGAGCACCGGGUGCUAACGUCCGGACUCAAGAGGGAAACAACCCAGACCGCCGUUUAAGGUCCCAAAUAUUGACUAAGUGGAAAACGAAGUGUGAAGGCUAAGACAGUCAGGAAGUUGGCUUAGAAGCAGCCAUCCUUCAAAGAAAGCGUAAUAGCUCACUGAUCGAGUCCUCAUGCGCGGAAGAUGUAACGGGGCUAAGUCAAUAACCGAAAGCGCGGAUUUGCAUGAAAAUGCAAGUGGUAGGGGAGCGUUCUGUAAGCCUGCGAAGGUGGUUCGAGAGGACUGCUGGAGGUAUCAGAAGUGCGAAUGCUGACAUGAGUAACGUUAAAGCGGGUGAAAAGCCCGCUCGCCGUAAGCCCAAGGUUUCCUGCUCUACGUUCAUCGGAGCAGGGUGAGUCGGCCCCUAAGGCCAGGCUGAGAAGCGUAGUCGAUGGGAAGCAGAUUAAUAUUUCUGCACCAUGUGCAAGUGCGAUGGGGGGACGGAGUGCGAAAGAUCAUCCGGGUGUUGGAUGUCCCGGUUUGCGAGUGUAGAAGGCCGACAGGCAAAUCCGUCGGCGGAUCUUCGAGACAAAGCAUCGAGGUUCUACGGAACCGAAGUGAUCGGAAGUGCUUCCAGGAAAAGCCUCUAAGCUUCAGCUUGUACAUGACCGUACCGUAAACCGACACUGGUGGGCGAGUUGAAUAUACUCAGGCGCUUGAGAGAACUCGGGAGAAGGAACUCGGCAAAUUGACACCGUAACUUCGGGAUAAGGUGUGCCUUUGUAGCGUGAAGAGAGAAACACUCGGAGCGUGAAGAGGCCUCAGAGAAUCGGUGGCUGCAACUGUUUAUUAAAAACACAGCACUCUGCAAAGACGAAAGUCGACGUAUAGGGUGUGAUGCCUGCCCGGUGCUGGAAGAUUAAGUGAUGGGGUGAGAGCUCCUGAUCGAAGUCCCAGUAAACGGCGGCCGUAACUAUAACGGUCCUAAGGUAGCGAAAUUCCUUGUCGGGUAAG